CUGGACGUGGCGCAAUGGGAGCGCACCGGCCCUGGGAGCCGGGGGUUGGGAGUUCGAAUCUCUCCGUCCAGA
rnacentral:tRNA from 1 species